rnacentral:rRNA from 1 species
GACGAACGCUGGCGGCGUGCCUAACACAUGCAAGUCGAACGGGGUGAUUUCCUUCGGGAGAUCACUUAGUGGCGAACGGGUGAGUAACGCGUGAGAAACCUGCCUUUCAGUGGGGGACAACAGUUGGAAACGACUGCUAAUACCGCAUAAUGUAUCGAUGGGGCAUCCUGCUGAUACCAAAGCUUUAUGUGCUGAAAGAUGGUCUCGCGUCUGAUUAGCUAGAUGGCGGGGUAACGGCUCACCAAGGCGACGAUCAGUAGCCGGUCUGAGAGGAUGAACGGCCACAUUGGGACUGAGAUACGGCCCAGACUCCUACGGGAGGCAGCAGUGGGGAAUAUUGGGCAAUGGGGGAAACCCUGACCCAGCAACGCCGCGUGAAGGAAGAAGGCCUUCGGGUUGUAAACUUCUUUUACCAGGGACGAACAAAUGACGGUACCUGGAGAAAAAGCAACGGCUAACUACGUGCCAGCCGCCGCAGUAAAAC